UAGUGGAAUUAGCGCAUUCGGACAACAUUUCCCUAUUUCCCCAAUUCCUCCUCGUAUUCGUCUUCGUGCUGCUCAGUGUUCUCCCACCACCACUCCCUCCCUCUACUCAUUCGAAUCUCUCUCUAUUCACCCAGUCUCGUUAAGAAAAACACAGAGAAAGAAGAACAGGUUGUUGAGAAGGGGAAGUUGGUAAAAAUGGCCUUUUUGAAGGGUAAGCCAGUCGUUACGAAAGUGGCAGCGUUGGCAAAGUAUGGGUUGCUCCCAGGAGUAAUGGUUUUCGCACUCGUCUACUCUCCUCCUAACUCUUCCCAAAACAAACCACCUACCUCUUCCAAUUAAAGGGUGUUUGGGUUGCUUGUCCUAUCAAAUGUGAGUCCUUCAGUGAACAAUGUUUUGUAAUAAAACGGAUGCAAAAUGGUUUAGAAUUUUUUGCAACGUAACUUUUGGUGAGACAAUUUAGUUUCGUUUGAUCUAUGGAUCUUGUGCAGCUAAA